UGGUUAUUCAUAACCCUUUGUUGUACGACUCUGUUGCCUCCGGGGCGACCCUGCCUUCGGGCGGGGGCUCCGGGUGGACACUUCAAACUCUUGCGUAACUUUGCAGUCUGAGUAAACUUAAUUAAUAAAUUAAAACUUUUAACAACGGAUCUCUUGGUUCUGGCAUCGAUGAAGAACGCAGCGAAAUGCGAUAAGUAAUGUGAAUUGCAGAAUUCAGUGAAUCAUCGAAUCUUUGAACGCACAUUGCGCCCCCUGGUAUUCCGGGGGGCAUGCCUGUUCGAGCGUCAUUUCACCACUCAAGCCUCGCUUGGUAUUGGGCAACGCGGUCCGCCGCGUGCCUCAAAUCGUCCGGCUGGGUCUUCUGUCCCCUAAGCGUUGUGGAAACUAUUCGCUAAAGGGUGUUCGGGAGGCUACGCCGUAAAACAACCCCAUUUCUAAGGUUGACCUCGGAUCAGGUAGGGAUACCCGCUGAACUUAAGCAUAUCAAUAAGCGGAGGA
rnacentral:rRNA from 1 species